GACGAACGCUGGCGGCGUGCUUAACACAUGCAAGUCGAACGCUGAAGCUCAGCUUUUGUUGGGUGGAUGAGUGGCGAACGGGUGAGUAACACGUGAGUAACCUGCCCCCUUCUUUGGGAUAACGCCCGGAAACGGGUGCUAAUACUGGAUAUUCACUGGUCUUCGCAUGGGGGUUGGUGGAAAGGGUUUUUCUGGUGGGUGAUGGGCUCGCGGCCUAUCAGCUUGUUGGUGGGGUGAUGGCCUACCAAGGCUUUGACGGGUAGCCGGCCUGAGAGGGUGAACGGUCACAUUGGGACGGAGAUACGGCCCAGACGCCGACGGGGGGCAGCAGUGGGGAAUAUUGCACAAUGGGCGAAAGACUGAUGCAGCGACGGCGCGUGAGGGAUGGAGGCCUUCGGGUUGUGAACCUCUUUCGCUAAUGGUCAAGCCGCAACAAUGGUUGUGGUGAGGGUAGUGGGUAAAGAAGCGCCGGCUAACUACGUG
rnacentral:rRNA from 1 species